rnacentral:lncRNA from 1 species
GACUUUUCAUUUUUCUCUUAUGAAUGCCUUCAUAGGGUCUUGCAUUGCCUGGUAUGGAGUUGAAGAGACAAAGAGUGAAGCUGGAGCCAUCAUGAAUUGGAAAUAGUGUUUUAUUUCCACACAUCCCUAGGUCUCUAAAUGAAAAACAAAAACAGUUUUGAGGCAAUGUUUCACCCGUGACUGCUUGCUGAGACACCUAGUUCAGAAAUUCAUGAACAACCUCCUCUUGCCACCACAGCAUGUUGGACCAUCUUGAGCAUUUUCUACAUCUCUUCCUGCAUGAUUUCCUUUGUUAGAAAACAAAACCUUUUGCUUUCUUUCUUGAGACCCACGUUCCUGCCUUACUCAAAUACUUUAAUUGUCUUGCAUUUUUAGAAAGACUUUUUCUCAUCCCCCUAAAGCAUUUCAUUGCUGACAGAAAGGCUGACAAGGCAGCUGACACGGUGGCUAUUACUUUGAGCAGUUUCUAAACAAUAUCAUUUUGCUGCCCUUCUGCUUUCAGUGAAAUUAUAGGGUGCAUUCUUUUUUGUGGAACAAUGGAGCUCAGCUCCCACACCAGGGGUCCUGAACAAAUUCCAUACCAACCUCCUGAGCUUCAGAAUUAAUGCAAUUAUCACUGAAGAUGUCACUUCAGGCACUAGUAACAUCACUACAUUGGUUCAUCUUGCCAUAACAGAGGAAGAAGGAAUGGAGGAGUGAAGCUAUAAACACACACAAAUACACUUAUAUGUGGAUAUGUGUGUGUGUGUGUUCAUAUCUAUGUAUGUAUAAAAUAUCCUACUAAUUUGAAAUGCAUCCUGAGUAAAUAAGAGCAAUAUUUAUAGAAAUGCAUGGUGACAGAUCAGCUGUGAAUCUGAACUGGGGGCUGAUAAAUUCUCAUUACCUUCGUCUACCUGACAAAUGAAAUGACCUGCUAAACAGCUGUUGAAAAUUCAAUCAGAUACCUGCAAAUAGCAAGCAUCCCAUGUGACAUGUGGAGAAGGUUGGUGAACAUUCUUGGAUUGGAAUCACACAGAAUAAGGAAUAAAAGAGAAGUUUCCUCUAUCCCUUGCAUCUGAGAGGCUAUUUGAAACAAUGACAUUUUUUCAUUGUUGUCACCACUCUGUGCCAAUUCAAACCACUCUAAUUAUCUUUCCAUUUCUAGUCCACAGAGAAAAAAUCCUUGACUUUCCCUGAUCCAGAUAUUUCCAUUAAUCCUUCUCCCUAGACCCUACUUAAUGUAUAAGCUUAGUGUGAAUCUGCCUGCAGACCAUUUAUAUCAAUAUGGAAUAUAUAUGUCCAAAGUGGAGCUAUAUACAGUACAUUAUGCAAUAUGAAGAAAGUAUGAAAACUUCCUUUACUGUUUUUAUCCUACUUAUUUUACUCUAUACUUUUAACUGUUUAAUAUUUAUCAUGAAUUAGCACAACUAUAUAUAGUAGUAUUAUAAACUAUAUAAAAUUUAUAUUAUCUGUAAUAUAAUAUAAACAAUAUAUGAUAAACAAUUAUGUAUCAUAAUAUCUAAUAUUAUAAACAUUAUGAGUGAAAACUCAAUAUAUUAAAUGAUGGAAAUAUUCACUUCAAAAAAAUCAAAGAACACUAUUCUAGAGAAAGUCCUCUCAAAUUUUAAUAUGCACACAAACCAUCUGGGGAUUUUGUAAAAAGCAUAUUGAGAUUCAGUAGGUCUGAGAUGGGGUUAGACAAUUUGCAUUUCUAACAAACUCCCAGGUGAUGCUAUUUCUCCUGGUUCUUGGAUCACACUUAGAAUAGUAAGGCAUAAGUGUGAUUUGAUGGCCUGCUGAAAUUAUCCUCUUCCAAAAUAUUUCUCCCUCUGGGAAGGUAGAGAUACUUGGAAACUUUUUCUGUAUUAAAACUUCUCCUUAGAGGGUAGAAAUAUUGCUUUUGUCUGUUUUCUUUGUUUUGUUUUAAUUUGCAUUUCCCAGUAUAGGUAAAGAUAUAUAAAUACAUUUAGGUUGGGAUUCCCUGGAAACAAACUCUGAGCCAGAGAUUUGCAUACAAUAAAUAUGUUGGUGAAUGCUGUCAGGAGUUGCAAUUAUGGGGAAUGAACCUCAAUCAGUCAUUAGUUAUGGGCUAUCUCCAAGACAGGAGACUGUGCUCCUAUGGGAUUAUUCUUUUCCAAAGAGGGAAAUUUUAGGAGCGUUACUAAGCUGACUGACAGCUGCCAAUGGCCAAUAUUCCCAGCAGUGGAAAGACUGAGGUCCUUUUUCCUAAAGGUAGGAUUCUGAGCAACACACCAUAGUAUCCAUUACAACCUAUCCUAAUAUUUCCUUCUGUCUCCUAGAUACAUAUUUGCAGAUUAGGUUCUUCCAAGAUUCCAGUGAUCCUCUUUUCCUAAAGAAGAACAAAGUUAAUGGGAUGAACUAGAGCUUCUACUAUUGUUGGUUUUAGAAAAAGAACUGAUACUAUAAAAAUUGAGCCUCUGAUACUAACAGUUAUCUAAGUGAAUGACCUAGAUACCAAGCAUGUUCUUCUCAACAGCUCCACCUCCUUUUGAUUCACUGUCAAUUACUUCUGUCUUUUUGUUUGCUGGUCUAAUGAAACAAACUAGAGUGAUGGUAUGGGAACAAUACCAUAGUGUUUAAUAGGAUGCAUGCUUUCCCCUACUAGAAGUUUUCCCUUCCUUGGAAACCAGGACCUUUACUUUAUAGAUACCAAAACUUUGGGAAUGAGAAGUACAAAUUUGUCAAAGGAGUCAAUAAAACUAAUAAAAAGUGGAGUCUCGUUUUGGGGAUCCUUGAUGUGGCUCAGGAGAUUGCAACUCUUCCCCACAGGGUAUAACCAUUGACCUGAUGGGUCAGGUGCAAUUUCAAUAGGCUCUUCUUCCCAAUGACAUCUUGUAGGUGUUGUGGUCUAUGCAAGGACUAGUAGAUCACAUGGAUUAUUCUUUGUUUACUGGCAUUGUCGUAAAUAGUCUAGCUGUGUCUAAUGCAGUAUUAUGCAGAAUACAAUUCUAUUUCAUUGUAUUGAAAAUUCUAUAACCCCUAAGAUAUAAACAUUGAAUGAUGUCCAUCAGGCAAGAAAAGAAAACCCAUGCCUGAAUAUAUUUUAAUUCCAGUAUUACAGGAACAACUCUUGUAAAAUAUUAAAAGAUGUAGAAUUAGGUAGUGAAUGAAAUCACCUUUUAUGCAGACACAAUGAAAGCAUUAGGUCAAUUCUGUUAAGCUAUCUUGGCAUGGCCUUUAGAAUUCUGCCUCAUGGAUUCAAGGGACUCAAGAUUUUGCAUACAAAAUGGACAGGUCUUUUGCUAUGGGAUGCUCUUUGGAUAUGGUGUGAUAUUAAUGAAGGUGAGUCUCUUCAGGUCGAGAAAAUUCGCACUGGGGAAUUCAUUUGAAUUCACUUGUCAGAUGCCAACAUUCCCAAAGUGUAGAAGAAAGGGAACUUUACUCCUUAAAAGAGAUGGCUGGGUCUGAACCUCAUACCACAGAACCACAGAAACACUAAUAUUAUAUAUGAAUAUAUUUAUUUAUUACUCUUAUACAUGAAUUAGGACCGGUUCCUUUUCAGUGCAGACAGGUAUUCUUUUAGCUGAAGUUGGCAGAUACAUUGUUAAUAUGAACCAGAAAAGCAAAAUUACAUUAGAUCCCAUGAAACAGAAAAUCCCUGAACAGAGAUAAGGGGAAUUGAAAGGAGAAAAUGUGAAAGUACUGAAGACUUCAUCGACUAUCUGAUACUCAUUUGUUCCUACUUCUUCCAAAAGGGUCAUCUCUGUGUAUCCAUUGGUGGCAGUGGGAUGGGUAGAGAGCAUCUAUGAAUAGAUAGAGCAGUAUGUAACAGACAUGGAGGAUGAAUCAGUCUUAGGCAAAAAAGAAAGGAAAGGAAGUUUGUAGUCUCAGUGCAAUGGUUUGAGCAGUAUGUGGUGGUUAGUUAUGCUAUCUGAUUGAUGGUUAGUAGUAUCCCAGUUCUCUUACCCAGUCUGGUCCAUCUCUCAUCAGUUAUUAAUUAAUCUUCACUAACACAUUCACUAAUUAUAGCUUAAGUUCUUCCUCUCCCCAGAAAUUUCUGCAGACCUGAAAAAAAAUUUUCAAUUAUAUCUUUCUCUAACUCUUUUCCAAAUAUUCACCUAUGACCUCAUUGUAUGCUAUUUCAUGUAGUAUAUAUCAUCCUUGUUUUUUGUUAGGCAAAUGGGGGUAGGAGAUAUAUACACAUGUGUAACCUUUCAUCUUUACCUUUAACACACUAAACUUGUUUUCAUAAUAUAGCCUCUGUGACUGUUAGUUUUCUCAAACACAAUGUGACAAAAAAAUAGGUUUCAAAUAAUGAAAAGAUUAACAAUAAUAAUGUCUAUCCUGUAACUUGUACUUAAGAAUUUGAAACUGCUAAUUAAUACCAUUUUCAGCCUUAAUUUUUUAUGAUGUACCAGGAGGUAAAAUAUGCAAGGUUUUGUUUGAGAUUGUAUGUCACCCAACUGAGGAUAAAGGGAUCCACACAAUUAUGUGAAUAAAACACAUGAGUGUUUUAAAGUCAUUUAUUGAAAUUAUUUUGGCUGUUCAUAAAUACUAUUUUCACUCUUCACUUUAUAUUUCCUGUAUUUCAAAAAUAUGAAAAGUUUUCAAGGAGCCAAAUUUCACAGAAGUGGGUCCUUACCUGGCCUUAUUCUCAGCCCUGUCCCUGUGUAAAAAGACAUUUAACAUUUCAUGUUUCAAUUUCUUUAUCCACAAACUGGAGGCCAUCAUCCUGACCUGCAUCAUCAAAAAGCAAUUUCUAUUAGCAAAUUAAUGACUGUUGAGGCAGCUAUCGAUGCUGAGUAUCUUUCAUAUUAGAUUGGGCUUCAAUUGCCAAACAGAAAGUGAACCAUUCCAGGAAACCCCUGUGGGAACAAGAGUUUAAAUUCUUUUUUUUUUUUUCUGUUUCUGGGCAGCUAAGGAAAAGUACUGGUCAAAAGAGAAGAGGAAAGGCAAGGGGGAGGAGAGGGCAGGGAGGAGAGGAGAUAAAACAGUUCAAGGUUGUAUUUUCCUGACUUCAUUCCUGCAAUGUCGGCCUCACCCUUUAUGACAAGGUCUGAGGAAGAUGUAGUUUAUGAUGUGCUUCAAGUGUGAUAAAGAAGCUGAGAGGUGAGCCUGGGAAGGGUUAGGUGUCCUUGAGGACCGGAUGGGCUUGAGUACUCUGUGAGGAUGGAUGUUAUUAAAUUGAAUUAUUAUUAUUAGCACUUAGACAAUGUGGAGAGGAAAAGGAGGAGAAAGGAAAGAGAGCUAAAUUAAAACUGCAUAUGGAUCUCGUUGGGAGAGAAUUCUGAGAGCUGCAGCUGAUCCGUAAAUAUGGCCUGGACUCUUCAGGGAGGGGCGGGUGAUUCAGGAGGAAUUCUUCAAUUCUGUGAGGACCUGCUUUUUACCGGGAGUGUUUGUUGAAGAUACAGAGGCAAGUCCAGGCCUCUUCUGUGGUUUUACUGAGAAACAGAGAUUCAAUUAAUUAGCGUUUAUGAAGGCUGCUCUUCCGGUUACCUCUGCUCCAGCCAAAAUGGAAUCCUCUCCUCCAGGGUACCCUGUGUUUGCCCAUGUUAUUCCACCUUCCAUAGGACCUUCAUGCUUUUCUGAUCUGAGUCAUAUUCUCCCCACCUUUCGCAGGCCAGUUUUGAAAUUGCACUCGUCAUUUUUAUUGGCAGUAGUUAACAUUUAUGAAGCACUUACCAUGUGCCAGGCACCGUGCUAAGCACUCAGCAUUUAUUAUCUCAUCUUGUCUUUACAUGUGCACUACGAGGAGGAUUUCAUUGACCCUAUUUCACAUCCGAGGCUCUUAUCUCAGAAAGAUAUAUAACGUGACCCCAGGGCUUUACAACAAGUGUUAGAAACUGGACUCCAUCCUGUUUCUUUCUGACUCUAAUACUUGUGAACUUAAAUUUCUACUGGUCUCCCUGAAGCAUAAGCAGGUAACUUUAAUCCAUAUGGAUGUGUCAAUCUUCCCAGGUACCCCCUCUCAUUUCUAUUGAUUCACAUAAAAAUAUAAACUAAAGAAAUGGAAGGAAUUGUGAGGGACCACUAAAAACUCUCAUGUGCUGAGGAGGAAACAGGAUUCAGGACAUAAGUGGUGCUUUCAUUCCUUCUCCAGUGGUCAAAAGUGUGCGGGAUCUAGAAAGAAAUUGCUGAGUUCCACAAAGGAUCUAUCAAGGGAUAGCACUUACUGGGUCAUGGACUAUUAUCUUAAACUAUCCUGAAGACUAUUUCAUAGUUGUUUUUGAGGAACACAGAAAAAAAGUAAUUCUUUAGGAAGAGGGCUUUUAUCAAGGAAAGAGACUGUAUAGAUGAGGAAAUGAUGAGAAAUUACCCCACAGAGACAUAAGACCAUUUAUUUACAACAUCACUUAUAUUCCAUGGGACACUCAUGGAUGCUGACACUUCUGUCCUUACAUUAUUUGAUUUGUCAGCAGCAAUAACUAUGAAAAGAUUCUCUUCUCUUUGAAAUGCUUUCCUUUUCCUUCCAGUUCCAUAGUGAGAGUGCAUUCCCCACCUACUGAGGGAGCUCUCUUAUCCCAUUAGAUUCUCUCUCAGGUUUCAAUGCCUCUUCUAGAUAUGGAGAAGCUGGAUGCUCCAGGAUCUUUCUUUGGCCCUCUCUCAUCUCUAUUCAGUCUCUCCCUGGGAGACCUUAUCAAUUUCCUUAGCUUCAAUUUGCAAUUGCACAAUCAUCUGUAAAAAUUUUAUCUCCAUCCUGGGCUUCUUCCACACUCUACACUAAAAUGUCCAAUUGAUAUUUAGAAGUUCUUUUUGAAUGUCUAAUAGCUAUCUCAAACUUUACUGAAAUAAAAGCGAAAAAGCCAAUUCCUAAUUUAUUAUGAAAUAUUUCUUCUCCAACCCACCCUUCUUCAUCUGUAAAAAGUAUUUAAAUUUACCCCAUUUUAAAGUAAAAAAUCUAGAGGUCAUUCUUCUUUCCUCUCUUUUGCUCAACCCAUAGCUUCUCUCUUCUAACAAGCCACCUCCAUUGUUCUUCUAAACACUUCUCAAAUGGGUUCACUGCUUCAAGUCUCCAUGGUCACUCUAACUCAAGGUUUAAUAAUAUAUUAUCUGGACUGUCACCCAGGUAAGCAUUCACUUGACUUUAUGUUUCUGUAUGUGUUCAGGUUCAAGGUAGCCUGCAAAAGACCCAAGGUGGGCUUCUUCAAAGAUUAGGCCACAGGGAAGGAGAUUGAGCAAAUUAUUUUAUAUGCACAUAUGAAUAUGUUAAAAUAAUCAAUCUCACUAUUAUGUAUAAUUGUAAUGCACUAAUAAAAAAGGGAAAAAAACCCUAAAAUUACAUGUCAGAUCAUGACUCUCAAUUUCCCACACCAUUCACAAUGGGUGUCAUCCCUUUGAUGCAAAUACUCAACCCCCUGGCCCCAGCCUCUAGAAUUCUCUAGGUACUGACCCUCACCUCCAUCCAUCUUUCCCCAUCCCAGUAGGAGUCAUUUCCAUUGGUCCUUUUUAGGUUUCUUUGUAUCAUACCUGUUCGUUCCUGCUUAAGCUUUUCUCAUAUCUAUUUUCUCUGCCUGGAAUGUUCUCCCUACGACUUUCACAGGGAUUUCUGUGGUCAGGUAUUCUAUUGCAUCUUCAGUGUCACCUUCCAGGCAAUUUAAAGUAGCUUCCUGGUCACAGUGAUAUGACCCUAUUAACUAUCUGAAUAGGACAUAUCAUCACUUGCUUUUUUCCUCUUAAUUUUCUAACUUUUGCCUUUUCUGAUUUGAAUGCCAAUUUAUGAAAGUAAAGCUUAUUCAUUUUUAUAAUCUUAGGUUUUAGACAAUGUCUAGUACCUAACACUCAGUAGACUUUGUUCAAAGAGAAAAGUAGAAAUAAAUGAAAAAAAAAAUCAGAAUGAGUGAUCCCCUAUACUAAUGUUCUAAGUACUUAUUGCUCAUAAAAUGGGUUUGAAACUUUACAUAUGAAUAUAUAUGCCGUGGUGAAAGUGUCACUGAAACUAGUGGCCAGUGAGAUGAUUUAGAAGAUGACAAAUGAAAGUUAUACCUUAAAAAUACUGUUUAAACAGAGGUGAUGAGAAAAUAGCACUAUAAUCAAAGAAGCUUUUUUAUGCCUGAAAAGAAAUCCUCAAACUUAUCAGAGGUAGAGCAGUACAAAACAUUCUUAUGAUUAAGUAUAAAAGAAAAACAAAGUGAUAUCACUGUGAGAUGAUACUUUAUAGAAAAUCACUAGAGAAAAUAUAUGGUUAUAGUUUUUCUAAUAUAGAUCAUAAAAAUGGUACAUACGGAUGUUAAAGUAUAGAGAGUGGGAGGUAGACUGAGGUUUUUUUCAAAUAUUCUCAUACUUGUCUCAGAAAAUGAUAUCGCAGUCUCUGUAAUUAUUUGUGGAAGAGUCCCAAAAUAUUGUACUUAAAAAUCUUCUUUCCAUCGAAAUUCAGAUGAAAUCAAUCACUUAUUAUUAUCUGUAACCUGAUUAGAAUAAAACUGCCUAAAUGAUCCAAUCUCAGCUUGGUGUG